rnacentral:rRNA from 1 species
GCCUGUCUCUGUAGUCAUAUGCUUGUCUCAAAGAUUAAGCCAUGCAUGUCUAAGUAUAAGCAACUAUACUGUGAAACUGCGAAUGGCUCAUUAUAUCAGUUAUCGUUUAUUUGAUAGUACCNACCUACAUGGAUAACCGUGGUAAUUCUAGAGCUAAUACAUGCUAAAAGCCUCGACUUCGGAAGGGGUGUAUUUAUUAGAUAAAAAACCAAUNNCCUUCGGGGCUUCUUGGUGAUUCAUAAUAACUAAACGAAUCGCAUGGCCUUGUGCCGGCGAUGGUUCAUUCAAAUUUCUGCCCUAUCAACUUUCGAUGUUAGUGUAGUGGACUAACAUGGUUUCAACGGGUAACGGGGAAUUAGGGUUCUAUUACCGGAGAGGGAGCCUGAGAAACGGCUACCACAUCCAAGGAAGGCANNAGGCGCGCAAAUUACCCAAUCCCGAUACGGGGAGGUAGUGACAAUAAAUACUGAUACAGGGCUCUUUUGGGUCUUGUAAUUGGAAUGAGUACAGUUNNNNNNNNNNNNNNNNNNNNNNNNNNNNNNNNNNNNNNNNNNNNNNNNNNNNNNNNNNNNNNNNNNNAAUAGCGUAUANUAAAGNUGUUGCAGUUAAAAAGCUCGUAGUUGAACCUUGGGCCUGGCUGGCCGGUCCGCCUCACCGCGUGCACUGGUCCGGCCGGGUCUUUCCUUCUGGGGAACCGCAUGCCCUUCAUUGGGUGUGUUGGGGAUCCAGGACUUUUACUUUGAAAAAAUUAGAGUGUUCAAAGCAGGCCUAUGCUCGAAUACAUUAGCAUGGAAUAAUAGAAUAGGACGUGUGGUUCUAUUUUGUUGGUUUCUAGGACCGCCGUAAUGAUUAAUAGGGAUAGUCGGGGGCAUCAGUAUUCCGUUGUCAGAGGUGAAAUUCUUGGAUUUACGGAAGACUAACUACUGCGAAAGCAUUUGCCAAGGAUGUUUUCAUUAAUCAGUGAACGAAAGUUAGGGGAUCGAAGACGAUUGUAUCCGGUCGUCCAUAGCAUAUAUUUUAUAGCUAGUCUGACUUGUUCAGGCUACACCAUUCAACUGAGGGGCCGCUCUGUUUCUAACGAUUCAGGGCUAAUCCACAGCUGAUUCUCUUUCUGAGAUACAGUCCACAGACUAAAUAAUGGUGGGCUCAGGUAUUGCACCUGAGUUUCUAAUAUAGCCGGUCAGGCGCUGAAAAGCGCUUGGUCUUACGCAGAUACCGUCGUAGUCUUAACCAUAAACUAUGCCGACUAGGGAUCGGGNGAUGUUAUUUUUUGACUCGCUCGGCNCCNNNCGAGAAAUCAAAGUCUUUNGGUUCUGGGGGGAGNANGGUCGCAAGGCNGAAACUUAAAGAAAUUGACGGAAGGGCACCACCANGAGUGGNGNCUGCGGCUUAAUUUGACUCAACACGGGGAAACUCACCAGGUCCAGACUAAAGAAGGAUUGACAGAUUGAGAGCUCUUUCUUGAUUUUUAGGUUGGUGGUGCAUGGCCGUUCUUAGUUGGUGGAGUGAUUUGUCUGCUUAAUUGCGAUAACGAACGAGACCUUAACCUGCUAAAUAGCCAGGCUAGCUUUGGCUGGUCGCCGGCUUCUUAGAGGGACUAUCGAUUCAAGUCGAUGGAAGUUUGAGGCAAUAACAGGUUGACCCUCACAGGCCUGUUACACUGAAGCCGAAGCCCUCGGGCCCAGGCUGACACAUCUUGAAUCGGUGAAUGACUCCGGUCUGAUACCGAGGCUAUUCAGUUAGCCCUAACGCGCAGUAAGAUGUGGGCCGUCUCCAGGACGGCUUAAGGUAUGUGCUGAUCACUAGAGAUAAUCUGGUGCUACAAAUGCUGUGAUGCCCUAAAUCUAGGGGCUUAUAAGUAGAGAUUACUAGUCGUANCGCGGUAUGGCAACGCUACUACUCUGGCGUGGAAGCCUCCCUUCGGGGAGCGUUACUCGCAGCUGCCCCGGGCAGUCCAGAGACUAAAUAGUGGCGGGCACUCGGGGGUGCUUUUGACAUAGUCCAACCCUUCAGCGCAAGCUCUAGGUAUGAGUGUAGAUGUUCUGGGCCGCACGCGCGCUACACUGACAGAGCCAACGAGUUCAUUCCUUGACCGAAAGGUUUGGGUAAUCUUGUUAAUCUCUGUCGUGCUGGGGAUAGAGCAUUGCAAUUAUUGCUCUUCAACGAGGAAUUCCUAGUAGGCGCAAGUCAUCAGCUUGUGCCGAUUACGUCCCUGCCCUUUGUACACACCGCCCGUCGCUACUACCGAUUGAAUGGCUCAGUGAGGCUUCCGGACUGACUCAGGGAGGUCGGC